UACGUAGGUGGCAAGCGUUGUCCGGAUUUACUGGGCGUAAAGGGCGUGCAGGCGGUUUGUUAAGUCUAGGGUGAAAGCUCCCGGCUCAACUGGGAGAGGUCCUUGGAUACUGGCGAACUUGAGGGAUGCAGAGGAAAGUGGAAUUCCCGGUGUAGUGGUGAUAUGCGUAGAUAUUGCUCGGAAGGCCGGAGCCGAAGGGGCCCACUGGUACGUAACUGACGCUGAGGCACGAAAGCGUGGGGAGCAAACAGG
rnacentral:rRNA from 1 species